AUUGAACGCUGGCGGCAGGCCUAACACAUGCAAGUCGAGCGGGAUUUACCUUCGGGUAAUGAGAGCGGCGGACGGGUGAGUAAUGCUUGGGAAUCUACCUAGUAGUGGGGGACAACAGUUGGAAACGACUGCUAAUACCGCAUACGCCCUACGGGGGAAAGGGGGGGAUCUUCGGACCUCUUGCUAUUAGAUGAGCCCAAGUCGGAUUAGCUAGUUGGUGGGGUAAAGGCCUACCAAGGCGACGAUCCGUAGCUGGUUUGAGAGGAUGAUCAGCCACACUGGGACUGAGACACGGCCCAGACUCCUACGGGAGGCAGCAGUGGGGAAUAUUGGACAAUGGGCGCAAGCCUGAUCCAGCCAUGCCGCGUGUGUGAAGAAGGCCCUAGGGUUGUAAAGCACUUUAAGUAGGGAGGAAGGUCUGGUAAUUAAUACUUAUCAGGAUUGACGUUACCUACAGAAUAAGCACCGGCUAACUCCGUGCCAGCAGCCGCAGUAA
rnacentral:rRNA from 1 species